rnacentral:rRNA from 1 species
UACGUAGGUGACAAGCGUUGUCCGGAAUUAUUGGGCGUAAAGCGCGCGCAGGCGGUCCUUUAAGUCUGAUGUGAAAGCCCACGGCUCAACCGUGGAGGGUCAUUGGAAACUGGGGGACUUGAGUACAGGAGAGAAGAGUGGAAUUCCACGUGUAGCGGUGAAAUGCGUAGAGAUGUGGAGGAACACCAGUGGCGAAGGCGACUCUUUGGUCUGUAACUGACGCUGAGGCGCGAAAGCGUGGGGAGCAAACAGG